rfam:Gossypium hirsutum cultivar TM-1 chromosome 12, whole genome shotgun sequence
AAUGAGAGAAUGACAAAUCAGAUUUUUUCUCCUGAUUUUCCGCCUAAAAAAAUUUCAAAUCUAACUAAAAAUGCUAAAAAUUAGGAGGAAAAAUAUGAUUUGUCAUCCUCCCAUU